CCGGCCCGCAGUGCUGCUCGACGGCGCCGUCUACGACCUGAGCAUCCGCGACGGCGACGGCGCUGGCCCCAGCCCGAGCCCCGGGGGUGUCGAGGUAGCGGCUGGAGAAGCGGGCAGGGGCAUGUGACGGUGUGAGGUGUGUCUGUUCGGUGCACACGUGCGUGUCCGCGUGGAUGGCCCCAGGGCGCCCGACUACGCUCAGGGACUGAAAGAUGAAUGAGUGUCCUGGUUUCGUGUCUCAGCCCUCCCUCCCUGCAGGCCUGCAGUCGCCCAAGCCAUGGGUGGGGAGAUUUUGCCAAGUGGCUUUUUCUUCCUCCUGUGGGUGCCUCUGUCUUUGCCUGCCUCCACCGGUGGGUCCGGGUCGGUGCGUGGCGCAGCGUGGCCGCGCCUCCCCAAGGGUGCGGGGUGUGUUUGGGGCCCUGAGCAGAGCCGCAGUGAAGAGACUGGGGCCGGGCACAGGGGUGUGCCUUCUAGGGGAGACAUUCUCUGCUCCCUCAUUCCUGUGCCCUGGAGCAAACACCUGUUCAGUAAUUUGUGCAAAGUCCAGGACAGACGCCCAAUCCUAGGAGCUGAAUGCCACCGAGAGGCGAAGAGGAAAGGAGCAGGCAGGAUUAAGCAGCGCUUCCUGGCGGGGGUGGCAUUUAAGCUGAACCUGGAACUAAUUUACUGAGUGAAUUUUUCGGUAAAACAAGUGGCAAGAAUCAUUUCUGGUGGAAAGACCAGCAGGAGUGGCCCGACCCUAAGGAUUGGAGCUUGCAGGACACAGACGCCUUCGUGCUGGUCUACGACAUCUGCAGCCCCGACAGUUUCGACUACGUGAAGGCCCUGCGGCAGCGCAUCGCGGAGACCAGGCCGGCGGGCGCCCCCGAAGCACCCAUCCUCGUGGUAGGCAACAAGCGGGACCGGCAGCGGCUGCGCUUCGGACCGCGGCGUGCGCUGGCAGCCCUGGUGCGCAGGGGCUGGCGCUGCGGCUACCUCGAGUGCUCGGCCAAGUACAACUGGCACGUGCUGCGCCUCUUCCGCGAGCUGCUGCGCUGCGCUCUGGUGCGCGCGCGCCCUGCACACCCGGCCCUACGCCUGCAGGGGGCGCUGCACCCCGCGCGCUGCAGCCUCAUGUGACCAGAUAGGACGCCGCCGCCCGUGGGUCCUCCAUUUGACGGGAACAGGGACCUGGAUUGGACCAGAUUGCCCAACUUCACUCGGAAUGGACAGGGCACAGUCUCCUCCCUGAUUGGAUGAGGAAACCUCCCACCUAAUCUCCUGGGCGACAGGCCUGUCUUUGAACUUCAUUGCAUCCAGCCAGGUUCAAGCCCCAUUUGACACUACCAGUCCUCUCUGGGACCUCACCGGGUGACAGGCCCACUGGAUGGCAAGGACCUGGCCAUGAAUGUGACUGGAAGUGCUCAGACUGCUCCUGGAACUUCACUGGACAUAUUCUUUAUGCCACACCUCUCGCUCCGUAAUAAAAGGGGAAGCAAUUUGAGUUCA